rnacentral:rRNA from 1 species
AGUGGUAGGGGAGCGUUCUGUAAGCCGUUGAAGGUGUGUUGUAAAGCAUGCUGGAGGUAUCAGAAGUGCGAAUGCUGACAUGAGUAACGAUAAGGGGAGUGAAAAACUCCCCCGCCGAAAGACCAAGGUUUCCUGUCCCAUGUUAAUCAGGGCAGGGUAAGUCGGCCCCUAAGGCGAGGCGGAAACGCGUAGUCGAUGGGAAACAGAUUAAUAUUUCUGUACUUCUAUAUAUUGCGAAGGAGGGACGGAGCAGGCUAGGCUGGCAUGGCGUUGGUAGUCCAUGUGAAAGUGCGUAGGUUGGUUGUUUAGGUAAAUCCGGACAACCUUAAGACUGAGACACGAGACGAUGCUCUACGGAGCAGAAGCAGUUGAUGCCAUACUUCCAGGAAAAGCUUCUAAGCAUCAGAUAUAUAGGAACCGUACCCCAAACCGACACAGGUGGUUAGGUAGAGAAUACUAAGGCGCUUGAGAGAACUCGGGUGAAGGAACUAGGCAAAAUAGUACCGUAACUUCGGGAGAAGGUACGCUCUCUAAUGUGAAGCCCUUGCGGUGUAAGCAUCGGAGAGUCGAAGUAACCAGGUGGCUGGAACUGUUUAUUAAAAACACAGCACUGUGCAAAAUCGAAAGAUGACGUAUACGGUGUGACGCCUGCCCGGUGCCGGAAGGUUAAUUGAUUGGGUUAGCUCUGCGAAGCUCAUGAUCGAAGCCCCGGUAAACGGCGGCCGUAACUAUAACGGUCCUAAGGUAGCGAAAUUCCUUGUCGGGUAAGUUCCGACCUGCACGAAUGGCGUAAUCAUGGCCACACUGUCUCCACCCGAGACUCAGUGAAAUUGAAAUUGCGGUUAAGAUGCCGUAUACCCGCGGCUAGACGGAAAGACCCCGUGAACCUUUACUAUAGCUUGACAGUGAACAUUGCUCCUACAUGUGUAGGAUAGGUGGGAGGCUUUGAAACGCAGUCGCCAGAUUGCGUGGAGCCAACCUUGAAAUACCACCCUUGUAUGCGUGAUGUUCUAACCUAGGGCCCUAAUCGGGCUUGGGGACACUGUCUGGUGGGUAGUUUGACUGGGGCGGUCUCCUCCUAAAGAGUAACGGAGGAGCACGAAGGUUGGCUAAGUACGGUCGGACAUCGUACGGUUAGUGCAAUGGCAUAAGCCAGCUUAACUGCGAGACAGACACGUCGAGCAGGUACGAAAGUAGGUCAUAGUGAUCCGGUGGUUCUGUAUGGAAGGGCCAUCGCUCAACGGAUAAAAGGUACUCCGGGGAUAACAGGCUGAUACCGCCCAAGAGUUCAUAUCGACGGCGGUGUUUGGCACCUCGAUGUCGGCUCAUCACAUCCUGGGGCUGAAGUCGGUCCCAAGGGUAUGGCUGUUCGCCAUUUAAAGUGGUACGCGAGCUGGGUUUAGAACGUCGUGAGACAGUUCGGUCCCUAUCUGCCGUGGGCGUUUGAGAAUUGAAGAGGGCUGCUCCUAGUACGAGAGGACCGGAGUGGACGAACCGCUGGUGUUCGGGUUGUGAUGCCAAUCGCAUUGCCCGGUAGCUACGUUCGGAACUGAUAACCGCUGAAAGCAUCUAAGCGGGAAGCAGGCUUUGA